AGUGUGAAGGGAGACGCGAUAAACCAGAGAAGGUUGUCGAGCAGCGUCACCUUUGAGGCAGUAAGUCUAAUAUUAAAUCAUAAUGAGAAAGAAGUCAAACAUAAAAUACUAACAAAAGCCGGACUUGGGACGCCAUUAAGCGACCCGUUAACCCGGAUAAUAACGAAAGAAAGCAACUCCAGACACGACAGGCCGCGGUCGCCAUGGUGACCGCAUAUCAUUGAACAACCAACCAAGAGAGCCGGACUGCCGGUGGUUAUUCUGUGGCUGCGCUAAAGAUUUUUGUACCGGUAUCGCAUUUGAGAGGGACAUAACAGGAUAGUUUUAAUUAAUUUACAAGCUAAGCAAUGUUUUAAAUUCACACUCGUGGGGCUAUGCAGAGGCUGUGUGUUGGGGGUAAAUAAUAUAUAUACCAUAACAAGAAGAAGAGUUAGAAAUGGGAAAAAAAAUAAAUAAGAGGUAAGUUAAACAUUAUUCUGAUGUAUGCUAAGUGGUUGUUAGACCGAAACGUUGUUAGCGUAAAACAUUACAUGAUACAAAAGAUGCACAUUAUAAAGAAUGGUAGAACCAGUAGGAUAUCAUACUAUGAAAGUUGAAACACAGAACUUGUGCAUUUGAGUGUUGACCAGAUACCACAAGGUAACAAUCGAGCAAUUUUAAGAAGUAGUUCACAAAUUCAAUAAAAAGAACACAACUUAUUAAUUUCACUGUACAACAUAUAAUCUAAAAACAGAAAUGAGGAUGAAUAAUUAAUUCACUGUGCGAUAUACUAUAAUAAGGUAUCACAAAAUAAUUCAAGCUUUUAAUUCCAGGUGAUGUCGAUUUGAGGGCUGUGGAUCAAGUCAGGUAUUAUCUUGAUAAACACGAAGGAAGGGUAAAAGUGUGACUUGACAAGUUCAAGAGGCCUGGUAAGAAGAGAUCAGAAGAUUUUUAUAUUUAAAUUUGAAGGUCACAUAGGAUGAGUCAUGUAGGUCUUGGGUGUUCAUAUUAAGUUGAAGAGUGGCUGGGUCCUUUGCGUUGGCGAGCAAGCAAGCAUCAUCUGCAAACAAUUUACUCAAGAGGUUCGAGCAGUUGGACAAGUCGUUUAUGAAAAGGAGAAAAGCUAAUGGGCCAACUACGGAACCCUGAACAAUUCCGCAGUGGAUGGGCAACAUUGGAGAUCUGUGUGGGCCUACUUCAACAAAUUGGUAACGACCUGUCAGGUUCCUGAUUACAUAGAGAACUUCCGAAGGUGUUGUUAAUUCAAGAAAGAAAGAGUUCUGCGAAGGUACACCUAGAAAUUCGGUACAUGGUUUUGAGCAGCGUGCGAUUUUAUCUGCAAGUUUCUUCCCUAUGGUUGAGAAGAAUUUAUUAAAUUCGGUGGCCACUUGAACUGGAUCAGAAACUGUGGUACCAUUUUCUAGUAUCAAUUCUGAGAUGGUGAUGUUAUCUCUUGACUUAAUUUUGAUGAUGUCAUUGAUGGUUUGCCAUGUGCGUUUCACAUCGCCUCUGUUGUUCACUAGAAUAUUAUGGUAAUACUGUUGUUUCGAUUUUCUCUGCAAAUGAGUUAGAAUGUUUUUGUACUUUUUGUAGUGAAGACGCUGGGAUGCAUUUCCCUUCAGAUACAUUUGCUUGAACAUAUUAUUUUUGUGUUUGAUUGACUUAUGGAUUCCCCUGGUAAUCCAGGGCUUAGAAUACAAUUUAUUUUCUCUACGUGAAAGUGGGCGGAGUGGUGCAUGUUUGUUAAUUAACCACUUAAAAUGGUUGAGAAAGAGAUCGAAUGAGCUAUUAAAAUUUUGUUCAGAUAAGAUUUCACCAAUAUAACG